GAAAAAAGACCACAUGAGUACUAGAAUCAACAAAAAAAACUCUUCAUUCCGUACAAGAAUAUAAUGAGAAACAGACAGAGGAAGCAUUGUGUUUGAGAUCAACUAUUUGGGUCUUGUAUGCUACCAAGUAGAAAAACAUUGUGGAAUUAGGAACAACUCCAUCAAAUGGUCAUACCGCCUAUUGAAGAAGCAGACUGGCCUAUAGCAUUUCACUGGAUUAAGAGGGGUCUCUCCUCACCCUCUGAGAAAAAUGCUGAGUACCUCCUGGCCUUUCCAGAGCAAAGGAGAAAAGGAUUACCUAAUCUACAAGUAUAAACUAUAGUUGUGAUAUGUGUUUAUCUCAUAUGUGAUAUGACAAUCUGAGCAUACAAACUUCCCCUUCCUUCCACAUGGAAUAUGCUACAACAGAAGAAUAAGAACAGUAUUCCCUCCUUUCUCAUACAGACAGACUGGAAUCUCUCUCUCCACACACACACACACAGAGUAGAGACACUCACAAAUGGACAAGAUGGGUACAUUCUUAAUAAUUAUGUACCACACCUUAUUUUUAUUUGGAUAACUCUGUAACUAAUAUCACCUUAUAAGCACCAAAUAAUUCUACCUUCUCCACUUAAAUAUUAGACUUUGGUCUGCUAAAGGUUCAACCCCGUAACGUGCGCCUAAUCUACACAUAGCAUGUUACACUUUUACCAUCAUACCAAAUCCCAGGGAGCUUGCAGUGUCCAAAUUCCACCUUGCUGCUUUCAUUACAUGACCACUGAUGCCACGCUGUGAACUUAAAAAAUGCUAGAAUGGCCUCAAUUAACGGAAUAUCUUCUAUUUUUUU